rnacentral:lncRNA from 1 species
GUUCCCCCUUGCUUACCAACUGCCGCAUGGAAUCGAGCGGUAGACUGGAUUCUUUAACGGGGAAAAGACAGUGCAAUACGCAGGAACAUGACGCAAUUAGUUAUCGCCGACGUCAUGAUUACAUACUAUCCUACGCCAGGGGUGCGCCAUGUUCUCACGAACUCAAGAAGGAAUUCAAUUCUCCACAACUCCACAUUCCCCAACAAACUAGCUUCAGAAAGAAAAUAAAAAUGCCUAGUUUUAUCGUCAUUGCUGGCGCAUGAUAGCCUUCAACCGCUGUAUAAAAGGCCCUUUCAAAUAAAUCGCUUAUUCAGUGUCAGUCUGUUAACAGCUUCACCGCUUCGCGAAAACCUUCACUUUCAGACUUCCAAAUUCUGUAAAGUAAGUUAAUUUUUGAGUUGCAUAUCAGAACUUGAAAGAUUCUUAGAUUGCGAAUUUGUUCAAUUUAUGCAAUUUAAAGUUUAAAUUAAGUGAUUGUUUAGUUAUUUUAAUAGGUUUGAAUCAACUGCCUUUUGUUAGAAUGGGGGAGAAGAGAGUGUUGUUGCCGGCGAGUGAAGUUGAUAUGACGGCUGUCAAGUAUACGCCUCAAAGAAUUCAAGGUUCUCCUUCCGUAAAUCCUACUUGAUUAAUUUACUUUUUUAAACAGAAAAUCAAC